rnacentral:rRNA from 1 species
UAGGGAAUCUUCCGCAAUGGACGAAAGUCUGACGGAGCAACGCCGCGUGAGUGAAGAAGGAUUUCGGUUCGUAAAACUCUGUUGUUAGGGAAGAAAAAAUGUAUAGUAACUAUAUACAAAAGAGACGGUACCUAACCAGAAAGCCACGGCUAACUACGUGCCAGCAGCCGCGGUAAUACGUAGGUGGCAAGCGUUGUCCGGAAUUAUUGGGCGUAAAGCGCGCGCAGGUGGUUUAGAAAGUCUGAUGUGAAAGCCCACGGCUCAACCGUGGAGGGUCAUUGGAAACUAAUAAACUUGAGUGCAGGAGAGAAAAGUCGAAUUCCUAGUGUAGCGGUGAAAUGCGUAGAGAUUAGGAGGAACACCGGUGGCGAAAGCGGCUUUUUGGCCUGCAACUGACACUGAGGUGCGAAAGCGUGGGGAGCAAACAGG